UUUCGUUAGGAAUUGAGGAGAUCUGGUUUGGCAGAUUUCUACAGAAGUACCAUGGAAAGCGUUAUAAGAGGUUGAAUCACCAUCUGCUAUCAUGGAGCCGCCGCAAAGGAUGGGAAAAUGUUGCAGAGGGUUUCAGACUCAGCGAACUCCAUCAUGGGCGUUGGCCUCCCCACUAUCUAGAUCAUCUUUAAAAGAUGAUGACCCAAUAAGGAGCCUAAAAUCAUUAAGGACCACCACCACCCAGAACAUGCCCUCUUCUUGUUGCCACCGUCAGUUAGAGUUAGGAGGUUUAAGGAACAGGUUCUUCCCCUCCGCCAUCAUAUGUCCUAAUGGAGAAUAAUCCAUGAACAAUAUCUUAACUGUCUUUUGUUCUUUUUUUUCCCACUCUGUGCUACAACCAUGGACUCUCUACUGCAGCGCAUUCAGGAACCGCCUUCGUGCUUUUGCACAUUCCCGCUAAUUACUGUUCCAUCACGGUGGUAUUUAACUCCUUUUUUCCCUUGUACUCCCGUCAAGACUUGAGCAAAGCACAGCAACAGUGCACUCCCUACUUCAGAGAUGGCCAGCCUGUGGCGCAUUGCACCCCACUGAUAGUAAUACAAAAGUAAGCUUUCUCAUGCAAAAAGUAUUAACCAAAAACCGAUUUGUAGGGAAAAAAUCUAUAACAGGAAUUCAAGUAGCUUAGAGCUAGAAAUGGGUUUUACUGAGAAUAAAUCUAAAACUUAGCAAUUAUUUUUUAGUGAUUUUAUUAUUUCGUGCACGUCUUUUAGUGAAUGUUAUCUUCUUUCACAUUAAUCUGUUGUCAAUUUUUAAAAAAUGUUCAAUGAGUCAAACUAGGAAAGAAGGACUUUGGUUCUGCAGUCGUUCCAUAACUGUUCAAUUCACGUUUGAUAAUUGUUUGAUCCCGAGACGCCAGGCGUCUGUACCAGCGGUACGUCGCAGAUUUUUACCAGUCAGUUUACAAUCGACACCCCUGCGCUACGGAGUUGUGCUUUGCUCGUCCUUUGUGAACAUUUGCAGUUUUGCACUUUUUCAAAAAUGAAGCCUUGUUUUUACAUUCAGCUACCCAUCACAAUGCAAAAGAAAAGCAGAAAGUGAUAGUAAGUGUGAAUUUAAUGAACGGUGGGAAAAUGGGUUCUUACUUAUAGCGGGCCCAUCAGGAAAACCGUUGUGCAUUGUUUGUGAAAACAUUUUCAGCCGUGAAAUUGAUUAAAAACAAAACAAGGUCGCGACUGACUAAAUCAAAUUUGAAGAAUUCUCUGCUGCUCUCAGUGUAAUUUAACCCCAAACAUUAAAAGCUUGGCAAAAUCAAAACCGACUCAGAAAUCUCAUUAAGGCAUUUACGGAAAAGAAAGAAAUACAAUGGGAUUUGUUGAAAAGCUGUAGAUAAACUGGCAAAGAACAAAUGUGCAAAAGAAGCCAAACUGAGCAAAUAAGAAUAACACAGAGAACACGAGUUGGAAACAGACCUUGACGGUGAUAGAUUCAGUUCAGAGUCGAGCCCUGGCAUCAUCCCUGUGAAUCCGUUUUGCACCUUUGCCUUGUUAAUGUUGUCCUUCGUAUGGAUGGUGACCAGAACUGUACACAAACUCUCAACAACAUUUGCUGAGAGCUCCACUCGGUCCCCUGACCGAUGAGGGUAAGUGAACCAAUCGCUUUCAUCACCCCAUCUACCCACGUCAGCGCUUUCAGGGAGCUCCGUACACCGAGGCCUCUCUGUGCUCCCCGGGACACUGCGCUCAACGUGCAAGUCCUGCCCUGGUUUAACCUCCCAUAAUGCAACACUUUGCACUUGGGUUAAGCUCCCACCCCCCCCCCGUGAGUCCCAGGCCCACUCCCCUCCCAGGGGGGACCACGUUCUGGACCCUGGAAACACAAAACUGGACGCUCAGAGCUCAACGGUUCGAGCAGCAUCUCUGGACGACGAAGGAAAAGUUUUGGUUUGAGACCCUACGUCGGCAGACUCAGCCCGACAGCUCCUACGUUCUGCCUCCUUGGACACUGCUGGACCCUCACUGGGUUCUGCUCUCUGCUUUGUGUGGUCACUGAACCACAGGUAAAGGCCAUUCGGCCCUAGCCACACCUGCGAGCAAGGUCAUGGCUUUUCUGCCGUCCAACAUCCCAUCGUCCCUUUAACAUCGGGAGCUUCCCACUGAAGUUCAUGACCUCUCAUUUCCCCACAUUUGACUCCAUCUACCUUGGUCUUGCCCGUUCCUUCAGCCUGUCCACAUCCCCUCAAAGUCUCUCCACAUCCUCCUCAAGCCCAGUUCAUUCACACAGAACAGAUUUAUUUAUAAUCGAUGCAGAAUUCAAAUGUAUCUGCAGUUCCAGGGGAAACAACCCAAAUGUGUCCAGUGACCAGGGUCCAAACCUGGAUGUGAUCAACAGCAGCAAUAACUGCAGAAUCAGUUCCUGCAGUCACUUGUGAACUCACCGCUGUCUCAGCAGCUGCCGUGUUUAAAUACCUUACAUAUUUA